UACGUAGGGUGCAAGCGUUAUCCGGAAUUAUUGGGCGUAAAGAGCUCGUAGGCGGUUUGUCACGUCUGCUGUGAAAACUGGAGGCUCAACCUCCAGCCUGCAGUGGGUACGGGCAGACUAGAGUGCGGUAGGGGAGAUUGGAAUUCCCGGUGUAGCGGUGGAAUGCGUAGAGAUCCGGAAGAACACCGGUGGCGAAGGCGGCCCGCUGGGCAACUGCUGACACUGAUGCGCGACAGCGUGGGGAGCAAACAGG
rnacentral:rRNA from 1 species